rnacentral:rRNA from 1 species
UACGGGGGGGGCAAGCGUUGUUCGGAAUUACUGGGCGUAAAGGGCUUGUAGGUGGCCAACUAAGUCAGACGUGAAAUCCCUCGGCUUAACCGGGGAACUGCGUCUGAUACUGGAUGGCUUGAGUUUGGGAGAGGGAUGCGGAAUUCCAGGUGUAGCGGUGAAAUGCGUAGAUAUCGUAAGGAAGACCAGUGGCGAAGGCGGGUCUCUGGACAGUUCCUGACGCUGAGGCACGAAGGUCAGGGGAGCAAACGGG